rnacentral:rRNA from 1 species
AGGACGAACGCUGGCGGCGUGCUUAAUACAUGCAAGUCGAACGAGGUUCAGUCGGUAGUAAUACUGAUGAAGAUCUAGUGGCGAACGGGUGCGUAACACGUGAGCAACCUGCCCCGAAGACCGGGAUAACAGUGGGAAACCGCUGCUAAUACCGGAUGUCCCCACGAAACCGCAUGGUUUUGUGAGGAAAUGGAUUCCGCUUCGGGAGGGCUCGCGGCCUAUCAGCUUGUUGGUGAGGUAACGGCUCACCAAGGCGUCGACGGGUAGCUGGUCUGAGAGGACGAUCAGCCACACUGGGACUGAGACACGGCCCAGACUCCUACGGGAGGCAGCAGUAGGGAAUCUUGCGCAAUGGGCGAAAGCCUGACGCAGCAACGCCGCGUGGGGAUGAAUGCCUUCGGGUUGUAAACCCCUUUCAGUUGGGACGAAGCUCCGCCGGUGAAUAGCCGGCUGGAGUGACGGUACCUUCAGAAGAAGCCCGGCUAACUACGUGCCAGCAGCCG